rnacentral:rRNA from 1 species
CACGUAGGCGGACUCUUAAGUCGGGGGUGAAAGCCCAGGGCUCAACCCUGGAACUGCCUUCGAUACUGGGAGUCUUGAGUAUGGUAGAGGUUGGUGAAACUGCGAGUGUAGAGGUGAAAUUCGUAGAUAUUCGCAAGAACACCAGUGGCGAAGGCGGCCAACUGGACCAUUACUGACGCUGAGGUGCGAAAGCGUGGGGAGCAAACA